rnacentral:rRNA from 1 species
CCUACGGGUGGCAGCAGUGAGGAAUAUUGGUCAAUGGACGAGAGUCUGAACCAGCCAAGUAGCGUGAAGGAUGACUGCCCUAUGGGUUGUAAACUUCUUUUAUAUGGGAAUAAAAUGAUCCACGUGUGGGAUUUUGUAUGUACCAUAUGAAUAAGGAUCGGCUAACUCCGUGCCAGCAGCCGCGGUAAUACGGAGGAUCCGAGCGUUAUCCGGAUUUAUUGGGGUUAAAGGGAGCGUAGGUGGACUGUUAAGUCAGUUGUGAAAGUUUGCGGCUCAACCGUAAAAUUGCAGUUGAUACUGGCAGUCUUGAGUACAGUAGAGGUGGGCGGAAUGCGUGGUGUAGCGGUGAAAUGCUUAGAUAUCACGAAGAACUCCGAUUGCGAAGGCAGUUCACUGGACUGCAACUGACACUGAGGCUCGAAAGUGUGGGUAUCAAACAGGAUUAGAUACCCGAGUAGUC